AGUUUUAAGUGAAGAGUUUGAUCCUGGCUCAGAGUGAACGCUGGCGGUAGGCCUAACACAUGCAAGUCGAACGGCAGCACAGGAGAGCUUGCUAUCUGGGGGGCGAGUGGCGGACGGGUGAGGGAUAUAACGGAAUCUUAUUUUUUGAGG
rnacentral:rRNA from 1 species